GCCCCCAUCGUCUAGUGGCCUAGGACGCGGCCCUUUCAAGGCUGUAACAUGGAUUCGAAUUCCAUUGGGGGCA
rnacentral:tRNA from 1 species